GACGAACGCUGGCGGCGUGCUUAACACAUGCAAGUCGAGCGGUAAGGUCCUUUCGGGGGUACACGAGCGGCGAACGGGUGAGUAACACGUGGGUGACCUGCCCUCAGCUCUGGGAUAAGCCUGGGAAACCGGGUCUAAUACCGGAUAUGACUCCAUGACGCAUGUUGUGGGGUGGAAAGCCUUGUGCGGCUGAGGAUGGGCCCGCGGCCUAUCAGCUUGUUGGUGGGGUGAUGGCCUACCAAGGCGACGACGGGUAGCCGGCCUGAGAGGGCGACCGGCCACACUGGGACUGAGACACGGCCCAGACUCCUACGGGAGGCAGCAGUGGGGAAUCUUGCGCAAUGGGCGAAAGCCUGACGCAGCGACGCCGCGUGAGGGAUGACGGCCU
rnacentral:rRNA from 1 species